rnacentral:rRNA from 1 species
UACGUAGGGUGCGAGCGUUUGUCCGGAAUUAUUGGGCGUAAAGGGCUCGUAGGCGGUUUGUCGCGUCGGGAGUGAAAACACUGGGCUUAACUCAGUGCUUGCUUCCGAUACGGGCAGACUAGAGGUAUGCAGGGGAGAACGGAAUUCCUGGUGUAGCGGUGAAAUGCGCAGAUAUCAGGAGGAACACCGGUGGCGAAGGCGGUUCUCUGGGCAUUACCUGACGCUGAGGAGCGAAAGUGUGGGGAGCGAACAGG